GGAGGGGUUCCCGAGCGGUCAAAGGGGGCAGACUGUAAAUCUGUUGGCUCAGCCUUCGGAGGUUCGAAUCCUCCCCC
rnacentral:tRNA from 1 species